GGGUGAGUAACGCGUGAGGAACCUGCCUCAAAGAGGGGGACAACAGUUGGAAACGACUGCUAAUACCGCAUAAGCCCACAGGUCGGCAUCGACCAGAGGGAAAAGGAGCAAUCCGCUUUGAGAUGGCCUCGCGUCCGAUUAGCUAGUUGGUGAGGUAAUGGCCCACCAAGGCAACGAUCGGUAGCCGGACUGAGAGGUUGAACGGCCACAUUGGGACUGAGACACGGCCCAG
rnacentral:rRNA from 1 species